AGACCGGUCUACUGGUCGUGCUUUUGUACGUACUAGUAUAAUCGGUUUCUCUCUUCUGACGAACUAUAAUGCCAUUAAUUUGGUGUUUUAGGGAAUCAGGACUGUUACUUUGAAAAAAUUAGAGUGUUCAAAGCAGGCUUACGUCUGAAUACAUUAGCAUGGAAUAAUAGAAUAGGACGGUGGUCCUGUUUUGUUGGUUUCUAGGACCUGAGUAAUGAUUAAUAGGGAUAGUUG
rnacentral:rRNA from 1 species